CCUCACUACACUGAUUUAAACAAUCAGGCAAUCCCUUGCAGCUCCAUCAACGACCAACACCCUGCAUUUUGGAUCCACAUUUGAAUAAAAAGUGCCAUAAAGAAAACCUGCACGCCUGCAUUGUCUUAACUUUGUUUGUAAAAUGAAGUUUUUGGCUUAGAGCACCUUUAACCUACAAACCAGCAUCCAGCAUUCAACACUAGCUUCCACAUCAAACCAACAAUCUCACCUAGUCAUCAUAUCAUACGAUGCUGGUUUAUCUCCUGCAUACCAUCCCAAACCGUCAUCCACACCAAACCAUCAUUCCCCAAAUCUGUUUUACUUCCUACAACUUCAAUAGCACUAGUCCUUCUAUAUACCAAUUCAAUUUCUAUACAAGCUGCUUCCUUACACCACUUCUAUUACUUCACCAGGUGUAUUUUAGAUUGCAAAAACCAUAACUAUGUAGAUCUUCCCAAAAACCAGUACCUCUACCUUGGAAACAACCAUUAUCAAAAACUAGUAACACUAACAGCAGCUCAUUGCCACAGGAUGCUGCACAAACUGCACUAGCCUUUGCACCAGAUGCAAAUGGUAUGCUCCCUCCAAAUGAACUUUGUGCACCCAGCAUUAGACCCCU
rnacentral:lncRNA from 1 species